CUGCGCACGCGCGUCGGGCGCCCAGCAGAAGUCCCAGGGUCCCAGGACCCGGCUGGACGAGGCUCUGCAGAAUUGACUUGUCAAUGCGUUUUGGAUGGAUGUGAACAGAAGCAAGGACAAGGAAUGCCUAGGCUUGCCACUUGACGGAGGAGUCAAGGGUGAGCGAACAAAGGUCAGAGAUUUUUCAGAGCUCCCUGGAAUGAAGCCACCCCACCGCUUUGAAUGAUAACUCCUGCUCAGUCUGCCUGUCCCAGAGUCCAAAAGUCCUCCAAGAAAGGCGAAUGGACACCAAGGAGCAAAAACAACCCACAUCCCUGACGCUCCGGGCACAAACGAUUGAUGUUGGAACUUGAUCACUAAAAGAAUGGCUGUCCAGGAAGUAGAAAGAGUGCAGGCUUCAGAGUCAGACUGUAUUAUUGGGGAUCAGAUCCAGUGGCAAACAGAAUCACCUCCACGACUUUCAGGGCCCAGUGCACGAUGAAAACACAGAGCCCUUUGUUCAAAUAUUAAUCAGAAUUUCAAGAUGGCGACAGCAGAUGGUAAACCAGGUACAGGGCCCUUCCAGGUGGGGAACCCUGGGCCACCACGCAAGAAGCACACCCAUGAAGUUGAUUCUGACUGCAGAUAACAGUAAACAAAUACCAGAGACGCAAGCAAGAUAGACGUUUCUGUCUCACGUGUAAGUCCAAAGGCAAACGCUCCAGGGUUACUUGGCAAAACUGUCAGGGACCCAGGCUUUUUCCAGCUCACCCAUGUGGCCCCACCCAUCCUUAUGGUCCAAGCUGUCCUGUCUGUGUUCAAGGAACUGAGGAAUGCCCAGGGUGUCGGCGUGCAGGAAGAUGAUGGGGCAAGGAGCCCUGUGAAGGCUCCAGCGAAGGAUCCACCUCGCUCCUUCCAACUUUUUGUGUUUUUCCACCAUCUUGGGUACUUCUGGGCGUGUAGACUUCUUGUAUCUUAUCCCUGUAUCUUAACAUCAGCUUCCCUUUGUGCCCAAAUUUCCCUUCCUGUAAGGACACCAAUCAUAUUGGAUUGGGGGUCACCCCAAUGACCUUAUCUUAAGCUGGUUAAAUCUGCAAAGAUCCUAUUUCUAAAUAAGGUCACAUUCUGAGGUCCUCGGGGUUAGGACUGAAACAUAGUUUGGAGACACAAUAUAACCCAUAAGAAGAAAAGAUGGUAAAGAUCUGAUGUGAGAGGGUGUUUAAUGAUUGUAGAGUUGAGGACGGUUUCCUCCAUUGACAUGGAAAAGCCCAGAAUGGGCAAAUUCCUAGAGACAGAAAUCAGAGCAGAGGUUGUCCGAGACUGGGGGUGGGAGUAAACAGGGAGUGGAUGCUAAUGAACACGGGCGUUCUUUUUUGCACGAUAAAAAUGCUCUCCAGUUA